GCCCGGCUGGCUCAGUAGGUAAAGCAUGUGACUCUUGAUCUCAGGGUCACAAGCUCAAGCCUUGGGUUGGGUG
rnacentral:tRNA from 1 species